rnacentral:rRNA from 1 species
AGUGAACGCUGGCGGUAGGCCUAACACAUGCAAGUCGAACGGCAGCACAGUAAGAGCUUGCUCUUACGGGUGGCGAGUGGCGGACGGGUGAGGAAUACAUCGGACUCUACUUUUUCGUGGGGGAUAACGUAGGGAAACUUACGCUAAUACCGCAUACGACCUACGGGUGAAAGCAGGGGAUCUUCGGACCUUGCGGGAUUGAAUGAGCCGAUGUCGGAUUAGCUAGUUGGCGGGGUAAAGGCCCACCAAGGCGACGAUCCGUGGCUGGUCUGAGAGGAUGAUCAGCCACACUGGAACUGAGACACGGUCCAGACUCCUGCGGGAGGCAGCAGUGGGGAAUAUUAGACAAUAGGCGCAAGCCUGGUCCAGCCAUACCGCGUGGGUGAAGAAGGCCUUCGGGUUGUAAAGCCCUUUUGUUGGGAAAGAAAAGCAGCAGGUUAAUACCCCGCUGUUCUGACGGUACCCAAAGAAUAAGCACCGGCUAACUUCGUG